rnacentral:rRNA from 1 species
ACUCCUACGGGAGGCAGCAGUGGGAAUAUUGCACAAUGGGCGAAGCCUGAUGCAGCAAUGCCGCGUGUGUGAAGAAGGCCUGCGGGUUGUAAGCACUUUAUCGGGAAGAAAACCAGGGCUAAUACCCUUGGUCUUGACGGUACCCGUUGAAUAAGCACCGGCUAACUCCGUGCCAGCAGCCGCGGUAAUACGGAGGGUGCAAGCGUUAAUCGGAAUUACUGGGCGUAAAGCGAGUGUAGGCGGCGACGUAAGUCGGAUGUGAAAGCCCCGGCUC